rnacentral:rRNA from 1 species
AUGGAGAUCAUAAAAAAUUUUGGCAAGGCAUCAGGACUCAACAUCAAUCGCCAGAAAUCUUCAGCAACACCAAUCAGAUGUGAAGCAGUGAACCUCGACCUGGUACUGCAGAGUUUUGGUGGACAAACAUCAAGUUUCCCAAUGAAGUACCUUGGCCUGCCGAUCACCCUCAGCAGAUUACGCAUGGUGCACCUCCAAUUUAUUCUGGAUCGCAUCCGUGCAUGUUUGGCCGGUUGGAAGGGCAAACUGAUGACUAUCGCAGGGCAUCGAGUGCUCGUCAGAUCGGUUCUAAGCUCUUUGCCCACCUAUGCACUCACUGCCCUAAGAGUGCCGAGGAAGUUUUUCAAAGAUAUUGACAAAUCAAGGCGGCAUUUCCUAGGGGCGCAAGAUGAAGAACUGACAGGGGGCAAAUGCAAAGUCGCAUGGGCCAAGGUGUGCUCUCCGAUCGAGUUGGGAGGACUGGGGAUCAUGAAUCUGGAACGGUUUAGCCGAGCCCUGAGGAUCCGGUGGCUCUAG